rnacentral:lncRNA from 1 species
ACACUUUCAGAGGCAAUUAGGUGCCCCAGUGGAGCAUUCUGGUGUGUGGCUUCAAGUCACAGGCUUCAUUUUGGCCUUCAUGGACCUUUUAUUUACUUUUUAGGACUCUACUUCCCACUGGAGUCCAGAGGAAACAGCAAGAAGAUGGCAGGAAGCCAGAGUCCUCCACUGGUGAGCUCUUUAUCUUUCUUCUACAGAAGCUCUGUGCAGAAACAGCAACUCAGGCUGUCCCUUAAGCAGCUUCAUUGUCAAAGGCUCAAUAGAAUUCUCCUUCUGAACAAAGGGAGAUACAUUUCUUUAUCUCUCUAAUUAAUGCUUAGACUUAAAAAAAUUGUGUUCAGUCUGCAGCCUAGAGGAUGAGCUACCUGAAAAAGGAGUAUUUUCUUUUGGAAGAAAAAAAAUGUUGAUUCUGUCUCUGCUGUAUGGAUUUUCACAUCAGUCAGGGAGCUUGAUAAAUAGAGAUUCAAAAGAAAUUCCAGGGGGUGUAUUCUACCCCAGCCUAGACAUUCAGGCUCCAAUUCCCAUUAUCUAGCAGUCCAGUGGGUUGAAAUGGAGCAAAUGCAGAUCACUGUAAGCUACACUAAAUGUGUGUUGCACCAACCACUGUUUAAUAUGUGCAAUGCUUUCUGCCUUCACAGUUAUUCAUUUUAUAGUCUUGUGCCAAAAGACCAAUCAUCAAAAUAUAGCAUGCUGGUGGGGAGUAGAAACAAGUAUAGAAUACAUUCAAACUUUCUGUCUCCCAGAUCAAUUCUAAAUUGACCCUGCUGGCUUAGGGAACUCAGUACAUGGAUCUGCUAAAACUUAUCUCCCUGAAUAAAUCUCUUCUCUCUCCUUUUCAUACCUCAUACCAUAUCCUGUUCCUGAUCUUUCUGCUUCUUUUUGUCUUUCUGUCUGACUUUUUUCCACUACUUUCUGAGUGAUUGGACCUUAAUACAUUUCUUGACACAUCUCAACAGGUGAUCAUUUAAAUAUCUCUCAAAAGCCACAAAAAAGUAAAAAUCAUGGUGCAGGACAACUAAAUUUUUAGUAUUUCAUCAUGAUAAAACAAUAUCUCAAAAUAGUUUAGCAAAAUGAAAUGGAAUCUUUGUAACAUGCAUUGAUGGAGAAUAAUCUAGAAAUAGCUGUGGACUUUAAUGCUAUAUAUAUUAUAAAGCUUAGCUGUAAACUAUGAGAGAUACUAUGAUCCUAAAGUGAUAAAAGCAGAAGAGUGAAGCCAGGGAUCAGAGCAAAUUUUUAUAUUGUGCUCUCUUGGUUUUCCAAGAGAGAUUUUUAUAAUUGAAGUGAUGCCUGUAUUCCCUAGACAGUUUCCUUAUGAGAGCAAAGAUUCUCUCAAGAGAAAGAAAAUUUAGUGUUCAUCCACAGACAUUCUACCCUAUUAGAAAUGCCAUAUCUACAACCUUUCUUUAGAUUGGGAUAUGUUUCUCCAGAGGGCCUACCCAGUGUGGUUCCUCUGUCCAUUCUUGGUUAAAUGUUAGAGAGUAACAGCUUUGGUUUAGACUUUCCUGUUGGUGUCCUCCGCACAAAAUCUUCAGGAUGGGAGGUUUGGUGCAUGAAGCUUUAAGAUCUAACAUAGCAGCACUGACUAACCAAGACACUAACUCCAAGGAGGAAAGAUAAAGAAAGUUGAAGGAGGAAUGAGGGACUUGGAGAGAAGUUGCAACUCCUGAGUUGUGAAAUCAUUUGAGUUUGCUCAUUGGCCCUCCAAUAGAGGUGCAGGUGUAUUCUUUUCUAACUCUUUUCAAAUCUAAUCAAUUUCUGUAUUUACUCAUGUACAGAUUUAUUUGUUUGCCUCAAAUUUGUCCUAUUCCGUUCAGGAUACUAUAACAAAAUACCAUAGACAGAGUGAGGUAUAAACAAUAAACGUUUAUUUCUCCUACUACUAGAGGCUGGGAAUUCUAAGAUCAAAAUGCCAUUACAUUCAGUGUCUGGGAGGGCCUACUUCUGGAUUUGUAGGUGUGGUCUUUUUUUCUGUACCUUCAUGUGGUGAAAGGACAUAAGGGCACUAAUUCUGUCAUGAGGGCUCCACCUUUAUGAUCUUACCACCUCACAAAGGCCCCACCUCCUAAUAUCAUCCCCUUGGGGGUUAGGAUUUCAACAGAUAAAUUUUAGGGGGACACAAACACUUAGACUAUAGCAACUGUCUCUUACCUGAAGCUUGUGGUGACAUCUUUUUUAUUUGAGUUUUAUGGUGAUGAUCAUAUAGUAUCUGCCAUCCAAGUCAUCUCAUUUAGGAAUUCAAAGGCAUGAAGUUGGAUGAAACCUGUAUAUAAGGACAUUAAUACUGUAAUCACAACUAACCAAGAGACAGCAUUAUAAGAAAGAGGAGGAAGGGAAGAGGGGUGGAGAGUGAGGGAAAAAUGAAAAGAAAAGUGGUGGUUUAAAAGACAGUAGGGAGGACAGUUGCUGUCUCUUUCCUGGUAAGGAGAAAUACAGAGUACCACCCUCUUGCCCUCCCAAGCCUUUCUAACUUUUUCCAUAUGACUGCAAGUGUUUAAAUGAUCACUGGAACCUAUAACCACAGGAUCUGCCCCUGCAGCUUGAGAGCCCCUCUGUUCCAUAUGUAUGCAUACAACAAUUUCCCUUUGAUUCCUCUUCAUUCUAGAACCCCAUCUCUGAACGUUCCAUCUUUAGUCCUGCUUUCUGGUAAACAUUACAGGUCUGGUACACCACACUAGUCUCUCAGUCAGCUCUGACUACCCCCAGGAGGCCUCCUAGUAUCAGAUGCACUCUAACUACUCCCACUCUACUGCAGAGGCCCAGCCUCCUACUAGAAUGCUCUGGAAGUUUAAAAAGGGAUUUCUGUUUUGUUUUGUUUUUAGUAAAAAGCCAACCUCUGUAAUCUUCUAGUCAAUCUUUUUUUCUCCCCUUUUCAUCCCUCCUUUCUGUCAUGGAAUCCCAGCUAGGUGCACAGCAAUAAUUUUUUUUUUCUCAAUAACAUAUGCCUGCACAAUCAGGGCCAACUCUGAAUAGAAUUGUGAAGUGUUUACUGAACUUGUACUAUCUCCUAUCUUUAUAUAAGAAUUAUAUCACUUACGUCCCAUGACAUCCUUUAUCAACUAGGAAUCAUGAUCUAUGUUAUACAAUUGAGGAAAUUGGUGUCCGGAAAGGUAAACCCACAUAUCCAAGAUGAAGUGCCAGGGUCAAGUGCCAAAGCGCAGGCUGCUUGACCACAGAAACUGCCAUUUAACUAGCUCUCUCCUGAAGCUGUUUGAUAGAGUUUGGCCUGAACAAUGCUUUCUACCAUUUCGCAUUCUGCUGAGCCCCCCAUCUCAAGCUCCAACCAGGUACCUGACACCCUCAUGUUUCUCCACAUAUUUCUUGGUACUAUAGGCAAGAAUUUUCAUCUGUUUCACCUCUUCUAUAGGAAGAUGACAUCUGAGAAAAGGCAGCAGGAAGAGAAAUUUCUAGGUGGAUUCCUUCUGUUUAUUUAAUUUACCUGUCAGGGAUAGAUUAUGAGAUGAGUAGUGCUUUUCUCUUUACAUGAUAGAAUGGAGAUAAGGGCGUACUCUAUUCAUAUGACAAGCUAGAGCAGAAACCAUAUUUGACACACUUUACAGCCUUAUGGUUUGGAGAAGGAGCUCAAGUAGUGUAUAGGAAGAAUGUGUUGGUGCUUUCCCUUAUAAUUCAUAAUACUCUGCCAUUUGGCAAUGUUCUGAAAUCCCAGAGGAGACUUCUGGGCUGUCCCAUGAGAUAUCUGUGCUGUCAUAUACUUUAUUUUCUUGUGCUUCUACUAGAUUAUGUAUUGCAUUCCCUUGUGAUUCUAAAUUUUGUCUAUCACUCAUUUUCCAUCUAUACCAAAUGUUGUUAAAAUCCAACAACCACAUCUCCUAUGUAGUCUAGGGUGGUACCUCACUUUAAGCAGAUGUCCUAUACAUCUUUGUUGAAUAGAAAUGAAGCCCAGUGAAUGAAUGCUGUUUGAAACUUCAGAUUUUUAUGCAGGUUAGAUGGAGCUCCCUAUUUGACAUAAAGCAGACUUUAGUUACAAAAAUCAUUAAUUCUUUUUCUUUUCCCAUUCUUCCCCUCCUCUUACUCCUGGCUUCCCCUGCCCCCAGUACCAGACCAUCUGCUAUGAGGCACGAGCAGGCUGGAAAAGAUAAAGAAAUCCCAAAGUGAAAUCUUGACAUGGAAGCAAUGUGCUUUGAAUUGGCUCUAUACAUUAAUAACAGGAACCAGUGAAGGGGCAUUCUUCAGUUUGAAAGGAAAGCCCUGAGAUUAAUAGCUUCUAAGUUCCUGAUGGAUACCACUGUCUCUUUUUGGGCCUUGGCAAGCAAACAGUCCUUGGAUUCAUCUGUGAUCUUGGGCCCAAGGAGAUCACAUUAUAGGAAAAGGCACUAGAAGGAGCUGCCUUAGUUUACUUUUCUGGGUAUCUGGGCCUGAGUAAUUGGGGUCAUUGGAAUUUGGGGCACACAGAGGGUUGCCAGAGCUAGAGAUUAAACUUCCGCCAACUAUGCAUUAAUAUCUUAGUUACUGGGGGACAAUGGGCAGUACAUCUGCAGUUGAGUCUUGCUUUUGUUUAUGUCUACAUGCUGAAAGCCCAGCAGGGAAAGAUUUACUGGGAGAAUUACUGCUUGGGGCUGAACCUUCACAAAAGUUAUACAAAUUUAGAGUGUCUAAAUGUAGCGACAGCAAGAAAUGCAACAAGGACCUGGCUGCUGACAUUAUGUACUCUUGAAUACUACAGAAAAACAUUGGCUAAGUGAGAGCAAGAAUGAGGGGAUUUCUAGUUGGCAUUUGCCCUUCAGAAUGAGUAUCAUGGUGUGGCCUACAAGAUGCCUGAUGAGAUGCAGAAAUCACAGUGCCACUUUAUUUUGUUUAGGUACUAGAUCUAUUUGAUAGAUGAUUCAAAAUGUACACCAAAGUCCUUUCUUCCUUUCCCUAGAAUUCCCACCAUUCCUGUUGCUGAUGCUUUAGAAAGCAAAAUCCUAGGUGUGAUCUCUCCAAAGGUCACUUCUAUAUCAUCAUCCUUAUAAUUAAUAGUAAUAUUAAUUAUGUUAUUGGUAUAAAUUAUAUCAUAUUAAUCAUAGAAAAGUCUAAUAUCAGGACAGAAUUAACAGUAAACUAGGAACAGGGUACAUAAACCUUUUAAACUGUGUUUUCACCCUCAUUCUUGACCUGGAUGCUGAUUUUCAGAAAGUCUAGCAUAACAAUCCAUCUGUGGCUUCCCUUUGUUCCUUUCUUCUCUAAUCAAGCUGCAAUACCCGUGUCAUGCACGAAUAGCUUGGACUCUAUUUUAAUUACCCUAUAAACAAGUGUAAAGGUAAGAAAACAGGAGAAUUUGUGUUUCUGUAAUCUGGUCCAUAAAAAUCUACAACUUGAUACUUUGAAGUUGGCAUGGAUACCAAAGAGUCCUAUAAUGGCUUAGUUUAAAAAUCAACAGGUAAGAUAAGACAUUGGAAAAGAUGAUACCAGAGACCACCAUCGACAAAAAUUGAAGGAUGUAACACAAAGCUAAAUUAUACCAUCUCUCAUGAUCUUUCUUCUAUCACCAUUUCUUGGUCAUAUGCCUGUUAUGAAUGAUGUGUGUGUGUAUGUGUGUGUGUGUUUGUGUGUGUCUGUGUGUGCGUGCAUACACAGAUUGGGGGGAGGCAGAUUUAGUAUAAGGAGAAUAGGGAAGUGGGGUUUAUAAAAGCUUUGUGAAAGCCUCUUUGCCUGAAAGGCUUAUAGUAUAGAUGUUGGCAUUUGCAAUAAGGAGCUUGUCACAGGUCCAUAUUCUUUUUAAAGAUUCUACUGGGUCAGCCUUUAUCCUUUGAUUAUAUUUGUAUUUAUUACCCCAAGAUCCUAGAUGUCAUGACUAUAGGAACAAUGAAUUGUGGCUAUAGUAAAACUAAGUAUAUCUGGAUAAUCACCUCCUUUCUCAUUAAUGUUAUUUAAUUGACCAGAUUAAUUAAAGUGUGAUCAACUUAACCCAAGAUUAGCAUGAGGGUGAUAGAAUAAAUGAAAUCUUCAGAGAAUAUGCACUGAAGAGUUGUCAUUGCACUGAGUCACUACCUUGUGAUCUAUCAUGUGAUGCCCAGCAGUUUUUUAAGUGUAUAUAUUUAAGAUAUUUGAUAUGAUGUUUUCAUGUAGAUAAUGAAAUGAUUACCAUAGUCAUGCAAAUUUACCUAUUCCUCAUCUCAUAUAGUUACCUUUUUGUAUUAUAUGUGGUAAACAUACUUCAAAUCUAUUCUUAGCAAAUUUCUAGAUUAUAAUUAAAUAUUACAAAAUAUAGUCUUAAUGCUUUAUAUCAGAUCUCUAGGCUUCUCCUAUAUAAAUGAAUUUUUUGUAAUUUGACCUAUAUAUCCCCAUUUAUCUCCAGCCUCCUGACCCUAGUACCACGGUUCUACUCUCUGUUUCCAUGUAUUUAACUUAAUUUUGUUUUUGUUUUGUUCUGUUUUGCCUGAAAGGCCCAUUGAUCACUUCACCUUAAGGUUGCAUGUUUCCUCUCUAGAAGAUACAACACUUCUAAGUCCCUCUUUAAUUUUGGUCUGUGUGUGCACUUGUUUAUUUAUGUUUCAAAUAUAUUUUGUAUUGCAUUGGUCAUCCCUAGUUUAUCACAUUGAUAAUAUAAAGUUUAAGAUAUUUCCUAGUGGCCCAGUGUAGAAAUUUAAUUAGACACCUAAUUACCUGCUGUACAUGUAGUGUGACAUGUUAAAAAUAUAUCUAUUCUACCAUAAAUAUAAGAAUUGUCUCUACAUAGAUAUUGCUUCAGACCUUUAAACUUUCUGAUUUAUCUAUAAAAGAAUUUUUGUAAGACACCAGUUUAUCCAUAACAGAUGGUUUAUUAAGUAAAAAUCAGCUUUAAAACAAACAUGUCACAAUUAUUUUAUUCUCUGCAGCAGAAUUCCUACUGUUGAUGAACUCCUAAUUGGAAUUUGGUUCUGGCAAGGAAUAAAAAACAGAGACAUACUGUGAGGACAGAAUGCCAAAAAUAGCACACUGAGCAAUACAAAGGACCAGCGCAGUCCCACCUUGUGUUUUCUUUAGGUCCCCUUUCUUUCCUUUCAUGUGAAAAAGACCAUUUGGCCUUAGUACAAGCCAAUCUUAUAGACCAGGAGACAGAUGCACUAAGAGGCAUGGUCCACGGUGCCAGUGAGAAAAGAUCUAGGAUUUCACACAAGUUCUGCUCUGAGUGUGCUAGAAUCAACAAGAUCCUUAGCUCAACUGCCCUUAUCACACCUUUACAAUACUCAGAAGACCACUGUGUCUGCUAAAAUGGGAAUAGUGCUGGCAAAGAGUGACAGCAGAAGCAUCAAGAAGGAUAAAAAUUACUGGACAUUCUAUGUAAGAUGGGUUCUGUUCUAAAUGCUAGUCAUACUUUCUGUCACUAAAUACUGGCAAAACCCUACAACAUUUACAAACCUUGGCAAACAUCUGGUUUGCAGAUGAGAAAAUGGAGGCACACAUGGUUAAAUGACUCCCUCAAAGUCAGGUGGCUAAUUAGGUGAUAGAGCUGGCAUCAAAACCCAGCUCUUUUCUUGACUUCUAACCACUAUCCUAUUUACCUCCUAUGUUUGUGAGUGAUCAUUAGGAGGUUAGUGCCCAUUAAUACAUUAGGAUGAACUUAGUUUUCAGAUUAGCAAUCACUAGCCUGUGUGCCUGACUUAAUGGCAUAUAGGACAGGGGGAGUUUUAGAGUGCAGCUGAGCGUGUGUGUUUAUGUAUUUAUGUAGGUGUGUGCAAGUGUGACAGUGAAAAUAAAACAAAUCCAGAGGAAGGUUCUAUACCUCAUUUACUGAAGUAUAACGCUAGAAAAUCUAAGGUAGUUGCAAUGAGGGAUAUCAGCAGGGGCUCAUGACAAUCUCUGAAAUUAGGUUUUAUUAGUGAUGAUUUCUAAUAAAGUAGGUUUACUGGCCCAAAGACUGAAAUGAGUGCAAACCUUUGCUUUUAAACAUGCUGACUGCCUCAUUGUUGGCUGCACUGAGACAUACAGUUUGAAAAAUCCACCCGUGCUUGACACAUUCCCCAGUCUUUGCUGGGGGGAAAUAAUGCAGUCUCGCAUCCCAGGGGAUGCCACAAUGAAAGAACCCCAGGUGGUCUGCAAAAUUAUCAGCUUCUGAAAGGUAGCCUUUUCUCUGAGCUGAGAGCGCCAGGCAUACUUGGCUUCUAACUCACCAUAUGGCAUGCGUUAUUGGACCGGGCUGCUCUGUUCAGUCUCUGGUGUGAUGUGGCACUUAAUGCUGUGGAAUUAUUUCCUUACUCAAUUAAAAAAAUAUCCCUCUUUAAAUCCUCAUCUGUUUUUCCCCACAAGCCCCCCUGUGAUUCCCAUAGGUACUGAAUGUAUUUUCUGCUUUGCUCCUUGCUUGUCCUUUCCUUGUGCUUUUCUAUUCUAAACCUUUUCCCCCUGUGACUUAAAAGUGCAGCAGGAAAAUGGAGCAUGGUUGCACUCCCUGGGCCUGGAUCCUCAUAAAGCAACUAAUUCCUGAGAUCCUUCAGAUAUUCCUUCUCUGAAGAAUGUUUUUGAUUAUCUCUCUCUUGCCAUAUUUUUUAGUGUUCUACUCUCAUUAAAAUUCUUAAAAGCAAUAACCAAAAAACAAAACUAAGGUAUUUUAUCAUGAGACUCACUGAUUUUAUUUCUAGAGCUACUUACUUUUUGCAUAGUUUUUCUGAGUCUCUAAUCCUAUCUUCUUUGUAGUUGUGUUCAUAUGUGUUACUCAAUGAUCUUUUAAUGUUUUCAGUCACAUUUCCCCUAGUCAGGAAUAUCCCAGCCUGUGGGUUCUCCUGAAUUCAGAAAGAUCCUCAGGCCCAUGUCUCCAUGUAGCUACUUUACAACUUGAAGGUCCUAAGGGUGGUGUGUCUAGAAGGUACCAGUGAACAAUGCAACUGGUCCAGGGAUAAGUCCAGUAUGGAUUAAUUUACACAGGUCUAUCCAGAGUUUGUAUCAAAAUUACUUGGGGAGCUUGUCACAAUAUGUUUCCUGGGUCCUACCCUAAAUCUAUUGAAUGAGGAUACUAUAAUUGUGUCUGAGGUGUUGGCAGGUAGCAGGCCCAAGAAUGUGAAUUGAAAAAAAUAAACUCCCCAGACAGUCUAAUCAGGAAUCUGAGAAUUAUUAUUAUUAAGAACAAUCAGCUUUUUUAAAAAAAAGAAAGGUAGUGGCGAUGUGGAGUUUUUUGACCUGGAUCAAAGUAAAGUCUCAGAUAGGAAAAUCAGCCUCAAAGCCUGCUAUAGAGGAGGCAAAAUAACAGGUCACCUGUGGGAAACCAAUAACAGGGUCUGCUUUUCAAUGUUAGAAAAGAAGUUGGAAGUCUGGAUUGAAUGGCUACAUUUUCUGAAACUCCAACUUCAGGUCUCUCCUCUGGAAUUUCCCAUCCUUGAUUUAAAAACCAUUUUAGAGGUCUGUUUAUUCUCCCUUACCUAUCACAGGGAAAGAACUCACUUCUCCCAUUUAAAUUAGACCUCAGAGGUAUAAUGUCAUGAGGAUUGUGCUAGUGAAUCAAUGGAUUCACAUCAUGAUUCUCAAAAUAUGUUCCUCUGAUCACCUGCAUCUGACUCACUUAAAAUGUUGUUAAAAAUGUAAAUUCUUAGGCCCCACUUCUGAUCCACUGAAUUAGAAUGGGGUUACUAAAUAUGCAUUAUAACCAGGUAUCCAGAUGCCACUGAUACAUAAUAAAGUUUAAAAGCAAUAUUCUAAAGUAUUUAUGUAUUUACUCUCUGUCUAUGGAAAUCUAUUAGGACCCUUGUCUUAGUCCUGAUAGAUGUGGUCUUUUCUGCUAUGAAGAUGGGAAAUAUGGAGAGACAUUAUUACUGGGGUACAGGAGAGAGUUCAGGAACACUGAGAUACAGCAGCUCAACUGGAGGUGGUAGGAGAGACUCAAGGAUUAUACUUGAAAUUUGUGUACUUGAGUUGUAGUUGGGAAAAGGAAUGAAGCCCAGGGCAAACCAACAGCAAAAUUACUCAAGUUAGUUUCAGCUAAAACUUCAACCCCCACAGCAAAAAUGCCUAGAAAUGAGGUUUGGAGGUCAAAUCAGAGCUGGAGUCUAGAAUACAAAAUGAGACAAAAUGCCAGUCUACCUCACAAUGAAUUGCACGUGGGGAAAGAGAGAUGGGCCCGCCUGGAAUCUCCUGCCCCCCCAUCUCUCUUUUUGCCUAGAAGAACCUUGUUCUAUCUUCAGCAUCCCAGUGCCCUACCCAGGCUGCUUGGGUCACUCUAGUUUGACAGUGACCACUGACCCCUGAUGCCUUCCUGUCUUCUUUUAUUUGAAAAGUAUGAUGGUGUUUUUUCCUAGGUUCUUUCACUAAAAUCUUCAGAAGUGCUUGGUACAAAAUAUCAAGGAAUAAUAGUUCACAUACCUUGGGAAUCCCAGGCAAUUUGGAUGUCUGUCCAGAACAAAGUGAGGUUUGAGGACCGUUUGUAUCAGUAUCUUACUCUGAUUGAGCAAAAGUGCCAUAGACGGAGAGACUUAAACAAAAUUUUUUUUUAAUACAGGGUGGGGGCUGGGAAAUCCAAGAUCAGGGUGCCAACAGUUUCAGCAUCUGGGAAAGAUUUACUUCCUGGUUUUCUGAUGAUCACUUUGUCCUUAUAUGGCUUUUCUUCUGAGCAAGCAUGGGGAGGGACAAGGAGAAAAGGGGGAAAAAGGAAAGGUGAGAGAGGGAGAAGAAGGAAGAGAAUGGACAUGCUCUCCUACUUCCUGACAUAAAGCCACCAAUCCAAUCUUGAUUAGAGUUUCAUCCUUAUGACCUCACUUAAUAUGAACUACCUCCUAAAGGUACUAUCUCCAAAUAUAGUCUCAAUAGGGGUUAGAGCUUAAAUACAAGAAUUUGGUUGUAUGUGUAUGGGGGGUGCAAUUCAAUCCAUAACAAUCAACACCCAUAACAAUACACACCAAAGGAUGCUGCUACUGAGAUAGGAUCUUGCUAAGUUGCCCAGGGUGACCUGGAACUCGUGACACUUCUGCCUCAGACUCCCAAGUAGCUGGAAUUACAGGUGUGCACCACCAUGCCUGGCUUAUUACUAAGUUUUAAAGGGUGUCUCUAGUUCAGAAAGAGAAAAUUCACAUGUUUUCACUGGCCAGGCUUUUAAGUAACUAUAAAUAUGUAGGAUUACCAGAGGUGAUAUAAAUAGUGCUUUGUAGAACUUACAAUCAUUCAAAAACAUACUUUAAAAAGAACACUCCAUUGGCCAAAUGGUCUACAGACUGCUUCCAUCUGAGGCAACUGGUUUUGUAAUCCCUUUUCUAGAACAACUAUUUUAAGAUUUAUCAAUAAGUAUAUAUUUUCCCUUCCACUCACUUUAUGGGUUUUUGCAUUUCAACCACAAUUCCUUUUACUCUUCCUCUUUCCACUCUUAAUUGGCAUUGCUUGAUGUUGCUUUUUGAGCAUUUUUAAGGAUUGGUAUUAUUUUAAAAUGUGUGUCCUCAAUAAGCAAUCAGACUCUAUCCUUUCAAGGACAGGGACUGGGCCCUGUUUCUUUUGUCUUCCCUCAAUGAUGUUUAGUUUGGUGUGCAGUUCACACUGGGCACUUGGAUGACUAAUUGACUCCCUGUCAGGACCAGCACAGUACUACAGAAGAGAAGUGAGUUCACUAUAGCUGAGAUUUGGAGAUAAGGACCACUUCCUGUGUGAUCAGCAUACAGUUUCUCCUAGUUUGGGGAAGGCAAGGCAUAAGAUUUUAUGUAUUUAUUUUUAAAGAAAUAUUGGAUUUUUUUCUAAUACUGGAACACAAACCAGACUUGUUCCUCUGCUAUUGUUUGAAUUUAGCAGGAUGUGUUUUGUUUGCUGCUUCUGGACAUACUAGAUCUGCUAUUUUUAGUGUUCUUCAUUAAAUGGAUUGUUGAUAUGUAAAUAUACAAGUUGCUAUGCAAAAUUGCCCUAAUUUUCUUGUGAACUUUUUUCCUGCAGCUUGUAGAAAGGCAUUAUGUUAGUUCUUCACAUUCAAGAAUAUUUUAAGUACUUGGAGCUAAAUUGUGCUAAACCAAUUGUCAAAACUUGGGAGUGUACCAUAAAAGAAAAUUGAUACAGAUAAAAUCAACCCAUUUGCAUGGUUUAUUUAUAUGUAUGCAAAUAUAUCUGUAUGUGGCAUAGAUAUAUGCACACAUUGUGUUAUGGCUAAAGAUUCAACUGGAGUUAAUGACCAUACACAGGGAAAAAACUAUUAGCAAAUUAAUUAAGAACCUGUCUGUCUUGCUAUUGUAAAAUGAAGCAGUUGUUAGCUUAAAGAGGAGUUCUUUCCCUCACUGAGUAUUGUGAUUCCAUAAAAUAUUCACUGACCUCUGUUAGAGAAGAGACUUCUGUUUAAAUCAAAAGAUUGUAGAUGAAUAGUUUAUAAUGAAUGAAUAGACUACAGAGGAGUGUAAACAUGAACUGAAUUAAAUGCUCUUUUGAUUAUGAUUCCCUGCUUAUUCAUUGGUUCAACAAGUGUUGAUUGAUUAUAAAACCUUCUAUGUGCCAGACACAGUACUGGGCACAUGGAGAACAAGAGGAUUAUAGGAGUGUUCCAGACAUCCAUAGUCUUUGUCUUCUUGAAAUUUGAAUUAAUUCUAAGUUCUAGCAUUUGUGUGCAUAUAUUUGCAUAUUAUAGUAAUUACAACAAUUUUGCAUGUUUUCUUAAUAUAAUUGAAAAGAUAGAAGAUGCCUUGGAACGCUAUUGAACUUAUCCUUUCAUUCUUCAGAUAAUUGGAGGAAGGGAAGUUAUAUGUUGCAUCAGACACUAUUGAUGCCCCUGCCCCCAAUUCUUAUCUCCUGGGUAUUCACCAUUUCUGGGCAUACCCAGCUAAUACUUUCAGCUGACACUCAUUGCCUAUGUGCUUUCUUUGGUCUCUAGAGUUCAUAGAAUUUGUGCUAGGGGGUUAAUACCCUCUCCCUCCAGGUAAUUAAACAGCCCUCAACUAAGUACUGAGGGAAAUUGAUGGAUUAAACCCCCCAGCUCUCUGUAGUAUCUCAGAGUUCCCUGGUGGGUUUGAGCACAGUUACCCACAGUGAUGACCUGCUCAGGAAUUCAUAUAUGCUGACUUACUUGUAUGCCACACUUCCUUGAUUUCCUACCAGUGCUUCUUGGAAUCACCUCCCAAAUAUACCACUUAUACUCAUAUUCUUGUCUCAGCUUCUGGGGAAACACAGCCUGUCAUGUGUCAAUCCUUGGCUAUCCAAGAAUAUACGAUGGAAUUGUAUGUUCAAAAUCAAAAUAAGGGCAUAUUUACUUUGAAAAUUACAUAUAAUGUGGAAUAUAUUCCUUGAUGAAAUAUAAUAGAUACUGUAUUUUCAUCAAGCAUUUAGAUGCAAAUGAUUAACUAAUUACAUGUAUUUGGGAAAGCCCUUAUCUUUGAGAAAAAGUGAAAUUCUUCUGCAAUUUGGAUAACAGAACUCCACUUUUGGCCUGGCAGUUUCACAGUUUUUAUGUAUUGCAGCUUUAAGAAAGCCAUCUGGUACAUUUUAAUAUUAUGGAAACUUGUUUUAAAAUAGGGCCACCUUUCAUCAUCUUUUCUCACUCCUUCUCUCCUCCUCCCUAUGACCAAGGUGUUCCUGGGAUAAUGAUAAAAAAUUGGGCUGGGUGGUUACAACAGUCUAAAACUCACAUUCCUUUCUGUUCAUUGCUGCUUUCUGGCAUCUACAGCCUGUGUCUGUUUUUCUCUAUUUUGAAUGGAGACUUACCUCUAGUUUAUUUAUAGACAUUGUGUCCAGCAUUUCCCUUUGCAGCUUCAUAAACCCAGUGCAUAUAUUUCUCUCUUUAUUUUAUUGGUGUUGAGGAAGUCAUCUGAUUUUUAUCAGACUUAGGCUGUUCCUGUCCAUGAAUAAUGUAAAGUGGGAAACGAAAAUAGACAGGCAACAGAACUGUUGGGCUUAUGGCAGAACUGAGGAGAACUUGGAACAUGAACUUUUUAUACUGGAACAUUUUUUAUAUGUGUGCCAGAAUUCAGUUAUCAUUCCCAUCUUAACAUCAUUCUUCCAUCUAACCACCUGCAAGUCUUAAGUUUUUUUCCAUUUGCGAGCUUGAGGAUGGCAAUUUCUGGGAGAAUGAAGGUUGCCUUGAAAGGAAGCACAGAAAAAAAAGAAAGAAAGCAAGCAUAGAAGGGCCUCUCUGAUUACAAAGGGGGACUUGGCUUUGGUUACCAAGGCUUCAGUUAUUAGGAUUCUCUGUCUUCUGCUUCAGUUGAUUGUCUGGAUAUGUGAACACUUGCUAAUUCUAACAAAGGUUUUGGUUCAGGAUGUUUGCCUAGACUUUGGAUGUCAGAUAUCUGUCUAUCUUUAUUUCUAUGUCCACUGUACCUACCUCCUUUGCUACCUACUAUGAAUUCUUGUGCAUAGUAGGGUUUGAAUACAUGUUUCUCAAAUAUCAGAUAUAUUUCCUGACUCUCACUUGUUGAUCCUUGUAUGGCUUUGAAGAUCUGAGAGCUUGACUUCUGAUUCCAAACUUUGUCCUGAACAUGGGCUCUUGAGUAAAUUCAUAGGGCUGAGAAGCUCUUUUACCUGGACCUUUCCCCUGUAUAUCUAGCCAUGCCUUCGUCUCUUGGAGUUCUAGUUCCUUAUUUUGCACCAAGAGUUACUGACUUGCUGUAAUGCUGACAGUACAAGGCAGAUAAUGUAACUAGAAUGUUCACACUAAGGGAGCAAGUUAACAAAUCGAAGAUCCACAAUCCUGUUUACACUUUUAUUUUGAAGGAUAAUUAUGCGUUUGCUUAAGUAAGACCCUAUGCAUUGAGUGCAGAUGUCAAAGCAAGAAAGUGUUGACUAAGACUGGGUUCCUGCUGUGAAGUGCAAGAUGCGUAAAAUUCCUGCAUAUGUGCAGAAAUUUAAACCCAUCAUUUACUGACAGGCAAUAAUUACUUUAAUGAAGUCAGGAGACUAUUUCAAACAAGCAAUUAGACUUAACAAUGAAGUUGUAAACAGGACCCUAAUUAAUGAAUUUUCAAAAUGUAUUUUCAACCUCUGCAGUUGCUAUGAACUCUAAAAAGUAUGUGAAUAACUAAUAUUUACUGAGUACUUAUGUUAUACUAGGCAUUGUGCCAGGCACGUUGGAUAUAUUAUCUCAUUUAAUUCUUAUAAUACUGUGAGGUAAAUACUGCAUUACUCCUAUUUUGUAGAUUAGGAUACUGAGAAUCAGCAGUAAGAAACUUUGUCCAAAUCACAGAUCUGUGGUAGGUCUGUGAUUGAAAUACGGCCUAGUUUGACUUUGGAAAUCAAACUCUUAACCAAGCACUAUAUUGCUCUAACCUAUAUACUACUUGUAUAAAACUACUUCCUAAGUGCGUCAGUCAGGAUAUGCCAAAGGAGAACAUGACAUAAUCAGAUUAGUAUAAUUUGAACAGGGUCUAUUCAUAAAGCAACUCUUUAUAGAGGUAUGGGUAUAAGGGACCCACAAGGAGUCUCAUAGCAAUAGCAAAAGAGAGCCAAGCUCUUAUCUCUAAGCCAAAGGGAUAAGAGGAGAGAUUAGUAUCUCUAAGAUGAAGUGGUAAGAGGAGGGAGCAAUUGUUGGCACCCAGAAGGAGAGGGCCUUGCACAUAAAACUGACAUAAGAGGGGCAGUGACUUUUGGGUUAGGUAGAGGAGCAGAGCAACAGGCCAGUGCAACCUCUCAGCAUUAAAUUCCCUGACCUUAUUUUCUCCUCCCUUUGGUCUUGCACUGGGCUCAUGGUUGGCCAAGUCUACCCAGAAAUCAUGGUAAGGAGCCAAUUGAUAAGGUGCAUUUAGGUCAGCUUUGCAAGGCAGAGAGCAAGGUUAAGGCUUGGAGUGGCUCUAGAAGGGCAAAUGGAAGUUACCCAUCAUACCAUGUGUUUAUCAUUCUCAUCUGCCACUGUGUUCUGGUCAACUUCAAGUAGCUUUUCACAAUUUUCAACUAAGCAGAGAAUAUAAACCAUUCACCAAGUGGGAUUUUUCUAUGUUUAUAAGUGAUCAUAACAGAAUUUUCACUUAAUGUUUCACAACCAUUAGAUGAUGCAGACCCUAUUAACUUUCUUGAGUUUAACUCAGAGUUAACUUGGGAUGUGUCAUACUAUAAGUCUUCUGUGGAUAAUAUUUCUGUUAAUGAUAAAUGUUUCUAAAGUAUUCCCAUACUUUUCACUUUUAAAAAUAUAUUUUUUUUUACUUGUAGGUAGACACAAUAGCGUUAUUUUAUUUAUUUAUUUAUGUGUCAUGCUGAGGAUCGAACCCAGUGCCUCAUGAGUGCUAGGUGACUGCUCUACCCCUGAGCCACAACCCCAGCUCCCUGUACUUUUUAUUUUUAUCUUUCACACCUCAAGACUUUCCUAUCUCUGUCAAAAAUCUCCUAAACUGGAAAACAGGGGUCAUCUUUGUCAUAUCCAUCUUGGCAUUGACAUCUAAAAUCAAGCCAGUCAUUGAUUACAGUUAAUUCUUCCUCUAAUUUCUAUUAUAUCCCUAAUCUCUCUCUCUCUGGUAUUGUAAACACCCUAAUAUGAAUCUUUUAUCACAUCACACCUGGAUUUUAGUGACAGCCUCUUAAUUGCCAUGUGGAUUUUUGUUGGGGUUUUUAGGCCCCGUCUCCUCCUGACCAGCGGGAGAAGCGGGAAAAGCAUGCCCCACCAAGAGGAGCCAAGAAAGGUAAAGGUCGACUGGCUGCCCACACCCAGCCCUCCCUCGCGGGAGGGCAAUCAGACGUGUCAGGGAGAACAGUCAAAGCAGGAUCUCGUGUAUUGAGGAAGUACACAUAGUUUAUAUACUGCACAGGAGCCAAUCAGAAUAAAGGUCAGAGGGGUGGAGCAAGUUCACGUGUACACCCAUCCCAUAGUCUGUAAGGGAAGGCACAAGCUGUCCACGAGGGCAGGCGGAAGAGUCCUGGACCUAUCCUGGAGGUGGCCCGCCUUUUCCGUCACCACCCACAGCACUGUCUCCUGGCUGAUCACCAGGAGCUGUCCCAGCCACAUGUGUGGCCCCAAGACCAGGAAGUGGGCAGCCACGCCCUACAGAUUUUAUUAGAUAGUAAUUCUGAACACUUUCAGAAAACUUCAAUACAUCACCAAUAUCUACAGAAACAGGGCCCCACAACUUGGCAUAGCACUCAAACCCUUCCAUAAUUUGUUUGCCAUUUUCUUUGUCCAACUCCUCUCUUCAAUUUCACCAAGCUACUUUACACUAGUGACUCCUUCUGCCCUGAAAUGGUGGUAUGUAUUUCCCAUUAAUAUGUUGGCUUAAGUUAUUCCUUCUUAUACUCACAUCUUUCUUCCUUGGUUAUCUAAAUCAUAUCUUUUAUUUUGGUGAACUCAGUUGUCAAGAAGCUCUUCUGCAUUCCAAUACUACUUAUUAUCUACAAAUAGUUAUAGUAGCACUAGUACCUAUAUCCCAGGUGUGUGUGUGUGUGUAUGAAUUUUUUACAGUAAUGCUUGGCACAUAGUAGAAUCUCAAUAAAUUCUAGCUAUCAAAAUUAUUUAUGAUUGCUAUAAUUCUUUUGGAACUCAAUAUAGUACUUUAUAUUAUUUUUUGCUUUGCAUAUAUAUAGAGUGUAACCCCUAAUUAUGGUAUUUUUAAAUCAGUUGCUGUAUUCUCAACAUCUAGCACAGAGACUGGCUAAUAGUGGGUCUGAAUCAAUGCAAAUUGUGUGGUAAAUGAUGAGGAGGAGGAGGAGGAGAAGGAGAAGGAAGAGGAGGAGAAGGAGGAGUGCUAUUUUUUUUCUCUCCUUUUGGAAAGUCAAAGCAAUAUAUAUCAAUAGAUAAGAUUGUUGAUUGUAUUAUAGGCUGGUAAGUACUUUAGAGAUGAUUCAAUUCCCCACCAUCAUCUUUUAAAUGGUACAACUGAGGCUCAAGGGAGAGAAAGAAUUUUCCAAAGCCACACAGUUGUCAGGUAAUGAAAAAGUCAGGGCUGGAACUGAGAAUGUAUUUCAGGUCAGUGACCUGAACAAAUAUUUAUUGAUCACAUAUUAUGUAUCUAGUAUUACGUGUGCUGUUGGAGACAUAUCUAUGACCAAGAUAAACUAUGUGCCUUUAGACCAUUUACUUUUUAAUCGGAGAAAUAAAUAAACUUAUAGGCAAACAGAAACAGUGACAAAUGCUAUUAAGGAAAUAAAAGAGAAAUGGAAAAAGCUAAGAGAGUGAAGAGGUAGGUGACUUAGUUUUCUGAAGUGAUAGUUAAAUGAUGACAAGGAGACUACCAAAGGAAGAUCUGGAGAAAGAUGGUUAUAGACAUAAGGAAGAACUCUUGCAAAGGUCCUGAGGUAGGAAUGAGUUUAGUGUGUUUCAGGAAAUGACAUGUGGCCAGUGUAGGGAAACGGUGUGGCUGACACAGUACUAGGAUUUGAGGUCAGGAAGCUAGGCCAAGUCACACAGAGCUCUAAAGUUUAUAGUAAGAGUCUUUAUUUUAAUUUUUGACCCUGUACAUGUUUUAAAAUGUUCAUCCAGGCUAAUGUGUGGAAUAGUAGUGGAAUAGUAGUCUGUACACAGAAGAAUAAGGAUGUGUCAGAAAAAUUAACCAAAACUUAAAGCCAGGCAAAACAGAUUAUCAAGCCUUUUUUCAGUACAGUACUGACUGGGCUUGAUUUUCUCUUAUUUGGACUAUUUUACAACUCUGUCAAGACAGAGGUUAACUCAUAGAUCAUAGCUUAGUAGAGAAGCAAAUAAUUUUUUGAUAUUUCUGUUGUAAUGAACAACUUCAAUGGCUAUCAAUAUGAACUUCUUGGAUAUUAACUAUUAUACUAACACAGAAAUCAUAUUCUAACAUAACAUAAAUAUUCUUAUAUGUUCUUUCCAGUUUUAAAAUAUUACUUGUUCCUGCAUUAGUUAAUGAAUUUACCAAAAUCUUUGGCAUAUGUCCAUGAGAGUCAUAAUUUUGCCUUUUUGAACAUUAAACUUUAACAAAUGAAAGCAGAGAGAACAGUAAAAUGACAGCUUCAGUAUCCAGUAGUCUCUGAAGAGAAUAUAGGGGUAUAACAAUAAGCUUUCUUCUUAUAUUUAAUGUAUCUUACACAUUAAUUUUGUCUAGCAUUGUAACAUCUGUAAUAAAAUUUCAUGAUGACACUCAUGUAACUGUGCAUGUGCCAGAUGCUGAUCUAAGCACUUUACAUAUAUUAAGCCACUUAAUCCUCACAAAAUUCCUUAUGUUAAUAAUAGUGUAAUAACACUCUUAGGGCACCCAUGUUACAAAUGAGGGAUCUGAUGUACAGAGAAGUUAAAUAAGUUGCCCAAGAUCACACAGCUACUACUAGCAAAGUCAAAAUGUGUCAAGUCUCUUCUGUUUCUCACAGAUGAGUACCAAUCUUCUCACCAUGCUUCCUCCCAUCUCUCUCACACACACAUUUAUAUUUUGCAAACAAAUAUGCAACUAUUCAUGAAGCAUACUAAAAAAUUACCUAAUGAGGUAGGAUCAUGAAAAUUUGGGAUCUACUGAUCUAAAACUUAGGUACUAUAUUUGUUAGCAUUAACUAGAGAAACAAAACUAAUAGGAGAUUGUGUGUGUGUGUGUGUGUGUGUGUAAUAAGUAGUUGACUCAUGUUGACUCAUAUGAUCAUGAAAAUUAAGAAACACCAAGAUCUUCACUUAGCAAGCUAGAGGCUGUAGAUCAGGAGAACCAAUAGCAUAAGUUCCAGUCUGAAAGCCAGGAGGUUCCAUACUUGGGAAAAGUUGAUGCUUUAGUUCAUAUCCAAAGGCAAGAACAGGACUGAUAUCCAGACCUGCAAGAGGUCUGCCAGGAUGAAUCCCCUCUUAUUGGAGGGGCAGGCUUUAUGUUAUAUUCAGACCUUCAAGUAAUUGGAUGGGGCACUCAUAUUGGGGAGGUCCAUUUGCUUUUCCAGGUCUAUCAGUUCAAACAUAAAUCUCAUCCUAGAAUGACAUACCCAGAAUAAUGUUUGACCAAAUGUUUGGGUACACUGUGGCCCUGUCAAGUUAAAAAAAAUUGACCAUUACAAGUAAAAUCUUUUAUUAGUUAAACCUCUGUUGAUCCUUCUGUGCUGCUGUGAAAUUAUAUCCUUACUUUGGAGCUGGAGUAUAAUUGUAUCAUUGAGGUGGUAAUAGACUUUUCAAUCAUCAGAAUUUUCUAUAUAUGCUCAUAGUGUACCCUAAGCUACAGUCUAGUCCUGGGAUACUUGAUGAUACUCUGUGCCCUGUUUGUUUGUUUGUUUUUCAGGGGUGGGGCUUGAACCCAGGGCUUCACACACCCUAGGCAAGUGUUCUACCACUGAGCUACAGCUUUAGUCCCUAACAAUACUCUGUACUCCUAAGUGCUUUUAGAUCUCUAGCUUUUUGAAAAUUGUUGUAUACCAACCAACUUUGCUAAUUAAAUCCUGGUCUUAAAAAAAUACAGAAACAAAGCAUUGUUGAAGCAUUUUUGAAAUGAAAUACAACAAAUGGCUCUAAAAAGAAAGCGAUUUAGAAAUCUGGAUUUCCUCAUUAUAUUUUUUCAACGGGGGGAAUACCUCAAAUUACAUGCUUGCUCACCUUGAUCAAUGAGGAGUUCUGCUUGUUAAGUAAGCACAAUUUCUAAUUGUAUUUAUUUUCUUGUGUGAUGCUUUGUCGAAGCGGGGUGAAUUUGAAGGCUAAACUAUUUGGAGGCAUGUGUCCUUUCAAUUGUUUUACCAAAACCCUUUUUAUUAACUCUGCUUCUGAACCUGUUGUGUUCUUUAAAAGAUUUGCAGAUAGGAGAUAUAAGAAAGACACCAGGCAAAGGUCAGUGUGGGUGGGGGCAUGGGGAUUUCUGCUCAGCAAUCCUCGGUUCCAUUGUCUGUGCAGUAUGGUAGAUGGGGAGGGGCACGUAUCAUUGCCAGGGUGCAGACAGAGCCCCAGAGCUAUAAGGUCAGCAGGAGGAAUCAAGGCCCAACACCAGUGAAGAUAAUUAGUCUGAGCCUGUGAUCUUUCACAGUCCCCUGUUGUCUGCUUUCUGUAUAUGAAACGGGUAUGUGGAGUAUGGGGGUGGCUGGGAUAGAGGCAAAGAGGCUUCAUAUAAUGCAAUGUGUUUGGCCCUAGCUGGCCCAGAGGGGAGCGCUGAGGAAAUUUCACUAAAAAAAUAUCAGGAAAGGGGGAGAAAGGGUGUUUGCAGAAUGGCAAGCAGUGAAGCCUUGUCAGGGAAGCCAAAGUUAGAACAAAAGGGGAGAUCUUGAACUCUCUGAAAUGUUCCGAGUGCAUCUCAUUUGACAUAAUCCCCCCCCCCACACACACACUACACACAAAGGCUUGUGCUGCUCUUUUGCUCCUAUACCCUAAAGAUAAGUAUGUUGUAGUACACUGAAGCUCAUGGGACCAGGGAAGAUAAGGUAUGCUGGGAGAGUCUGCACAGCAGAUCCUACAAAGUGGAGUUUUCUGAAUAACAAAAAGCAAAGAAAAUAAUAGACCAAACACAAGGAAUGGGGCAGAGCACAAGAGCCCCAUACCAUGGAAAGAGAGAUGCAGGAAAAAGCAUAUAAAGCAACUGUGGUUUCUCUUAAAGGGAGAUUUUGCUUUAUUUUUCAUCUCUCAAAAGGUGUCAACUUAAGAAAACCUCACAGCUCCUUGUGGGCUGCUCGCUCUCAAAGGGAAAUGAAUUAUUUAGGAGUGUGAUGAAUAGUUCAUCAAACCUCUCUCCAACAGGGUUGCUGCUUAGGCUCAGAGUAAUUGGCCAAGAGCAGAAGGGGGGCAGGCCCUUGCCUCAGUGAUUCUUUCUUCUGCCCCUGGAGGGAGCCAUGAAUGGGAGGGUGAGGGUGACUGCCUGCGGUGGAUCUUUCCAUCCCAGAUGGAAGAAUAGAGAGAGGCAGAAACGAAAACGGAGGUCAUUCCCAAGACAAGCCUGCAGGAGGAGCCAGCACCCUUCAUUGGAACAAGCUCUUAUAUAAACGGAGGGUUCUUACCUGGAAGGGCUGGAAGUAGCCACAGAUUCAGCCCUAAAUCCCAAUCUCCCAUCUGUUUUCCGAUUGGGCAGGCAUCAGGUGCUCCCAGGAAAUUUUAGCCUCUGCUCUCCCUAUUGCAGGCCCUGUUUUUUUGGGGUCUGUAUAAAACAAGCAUGUGGAACAGAAAGAGAUGUGUGGUGCAGCACCCAGUCACAAAGCUGUGCACCCAAACCAGUUUCUGACAACCUUGUUUUGCCCUCCAUCUUCCCCCCUUUCCCCACCUCCACAUACUUAAUGGAAAUGGACAAAGGUAUAAUCCAAGCUUAUCAAAACGGUCUGCAAACUGAAGAGGCUGCAUCUUUUCAAAUGUAAAAAAGAAAAGCCUGAUCUAUUUAUAAAAUCACUGUCAGAAUGGAGGAAAGCAGACAAAAACUACUCCUAACCUCAGCUCUAUCAGUACAUGAGGUGAGAAGCAAUAUAAUAUACUGUUCCUUUUGUGUUGCCAAAUAAGGGUUCAAAUCAGGGCUCUGCUCCUAAACUGUUUGACUUUGGAUCCUUUAUACAACCUCCUUGAGCCUCAAUUUCCCUUUCUGCAAACUGGAGAUGGUAGUACAUAUCUCAUAAGGUUGUUGUGAGAAUUAAAUGUGCUAACUUUUGUGAAAUGCUUAGCAUGUAAUAAGCAUUUGAUAAAUGUUAGCUGUGGCUGUUGUUAUUUAUGUUAUUACAUACUUACACAUUUGUCAUGGAUUACAUGGGAAACCCAGCAGAAGAAUUUGAAUGGCUCUGGUAAAAUCUGCUUCUUACUGUUAGUUAAAAACAUUCAUUAUCCAGGUCAUACAUCAUAUUUCUUCUAGAAAUGGACAGCUUUUCUUAUGAAACUACAGUUGCCAUACUAAUGAUCUCUCCCCACACCCUAGCCCAUCUCUCCCUCCCUCUAACCCUCUUCUUUCCCACUUUCCUUCCCUUCCUCUUUCCUUCUCUCUCUCUCUUCCUCCCUCUAUCAUUUUCUUUCCCCUCCCCUUCCUCCUUAUCUGCUUCUUUCUCUGUCUCACUCUCUCCUAUUUUUUGCCUCAUCUUUUCCACCUUUUUUUCCCUCCCUCCUUCUCUUGUGCCCCUUGAGUUCUGGUGUAUUUUUUCUGAAAUGUUGUGAAAUGUCUGCUUUAUUACAAAUAAGUUCCGUUUUUAAAAGAUUUGCAUUAUGUUAUCAAGUUCAGUUGCUACAACUUUAUUAUUACCUGCCAUUCCAAACCUAACUUUGCUUCACAGAAAGAAGAAUAAUUUAACUAUACACAUAUACAAAUAAUAAGUGUCUCAGUUGGCUUCUGCUCUUCCAAAAGAUUUUUAAAAUCAUUUGGUGCAAUCAUUCCUAAUAAGUUGCCCACCAGCUCUGAGACAGAUCUGUGAAAAACAGCUACAGACAUUUUACUCAAAGUAACAGAUUAAGAUGGUAAAUAUGAUAAAUCCAAGACCUACCUUGCAAAGUUAGCAAUGAACUAAUAUGAUCUUUUACCAUUGUUUGGAAAUUUUCUGCAUAGGGGCAUGUUAUAUCUUCAAGUAAGUGACAAAAGUUGCAAAUUUUAGGCCUCCAUAUGCAGAAAGCUCAAAGUCAGUUGCAAAAGGCUCCUGGCAAUUAUAAUUGGCUGUUCUCUGCUCAGUGUCACAGGCAUUCUGUUUUCUGUGGCUGGGGGACAGCAAGCUUCAUGUCAGCUAGAGAGCCUAGGGUAAGAUCAGAUCACCCUUAGUUUUCUACAUGAGAGAAGCAAGCUGUCUGACCAGAAGCCUUCCAAAACCUAAUAGGUAUGGCUGUGUAUCCAUUUAUUUAUUCACCUAAUGUUUGUGCCUAACAUCUAUGGUAUUUUGGGACUAUAGAAUGGGAAUAUAGAAAGGACUAAAACAUGAUCUCUUAUGAUGAGGGAGUUUACAUAGUAGUUAAGAAGCAGGUACAUGCAGUGAUUUUAAAUUAAGAGGAAAAUACUGAAUCUGUCUACCAAAGUGCUGUGGUAGGUCCUCCAUGCUAUCUUUAAUUUUCUCACCAACUUUAUUCAGAAAAAGAAUUUGUUUUGCUUUCCAUAGCUGUUUAGGACAAAAAUAAGAAUAAAAAUAAUUACUUUUGGGGUUCUGGCUUUGUGCCACACAUUUAUACAAAUUGCCUCAUUUAAUCCUUAUGGCAACUGUAUUAGUCUACUGAGCCUGCCAUAACAAAACACUCUAAACUGGGUGGCUUAAUCAACAGAAAUUUAUUUUCUCACAGUUAUGGAGGCUGGGAAGUCUAAGCAGCCAAACAAUUCAGUUUCUGGUGAGAUCUAUUUUCCUGGCUUACAGAGGGCUUCUUUCUAGUUGUGUGCUCAAAAAGCCUUUCCUAGGUGCCUGUGUGUGGGGAGGGGGAUGGAAAGGACAAUAACUUUCUCUUCUUAUAAUGCCACAGUUCUAUCAGAUCAACUGCUUAUUAUCUGACUUAACCUUAAUUAUCUUCUAAAGAUCCUCUCCCCAGAUAGUCACAUUGGAGUAUAGUCCUCCAACAUAUGAAUUUAGCAGGGAGACAUAAUUCAAUCCGCAGUAGAACUAUAUGCUUUAGAUGAUGAUUUUAUUUUCAUUUUUCAGAUGGGGAACAGAAGCUCGGAUAGGCUGAAUGACCUCUUCAAGAUUGUACAGCUAAAAAUUGUAGCAAUAAGUUUACUAAAAGACAACUGCUGGGUUUGGGUUGUGGCUCAGAGGUAGAGCACUUGCCCAGCAUGAUGAGAAAAUGUGUUUGAUCCUCAGCACCACAUAAAAUAAAAUAAAGGUAUUGUG